GAGGAGCUUGGAGCUCAGUGAGCAAAAAUCAAUGAUGUGCCAUUACUGCCAGCAGAGCUCUUCCAGCUGAUGUGGCCCUCUCUUUACAUGCUGCACGAGUACAGAAUCCCUGUGAAAAGGGACAGACCAUCCUUGAAGGCUGCCAUCGCAGCCCUUACUCAUCGUGGGCUCGGGCUGUCACUUUCAACAUUUAAACUGCUAUAGAACUGGACACUUCAUGGCUUGUUUUCCCUCAUCUGCUUAAACAAGAAAAACAAGGAAAAUAAGCACGGUAAAUCUCAACCAGAAGAACUCUGGAAACUCUACUCAUUCAUUCUUUUACAGGCUGCUCAAGUGAGCUCAGAGAGUUUCCAAAGGUGAUGAAGAAGGCUUGUGUCUAACUUCAUUAGGCCUGGGAAAAGGACAAGUCCAGGCACUGGAUCUCCAGCAAGUUUCUUCUGCAAAAGAUAAGCAUCUGAAAAAGGAGAUGUAGAAGAGAUUGAUGUAUGGGUGAAGUGUGUAGGAGCAAGCCUACUUUACUCCAGGAUGUGACAUCCCAGUGCAGCAAAUGAAGACAUGGCUGAAAGGCUAAUUUAAAAUCUUCUUCUCCCAUGAGGACUUUCUCCAAAGAAGCCGUCUCCUUGCUGCACCAAACAGAAGCUUGUUGAGUGUGAGUUGUUGCAUGGAAUCAAAAUAAAGCUGGCAAAUAUUGCC
rnacentral:lncRNA from 7 species